GUCGGAGUGGCGGAAUAGGCAGACGCGCUAGCUUGAGGGGCUAGUGUCCGAAAGGACGUGGGGGUUCAAGUCCCCCCUCCGACA
rnacentral:tRNA from 2 species